AGCUUUACAGGUCCUUUCUUGGAAAGGAACAAUAUUAAAAACUUCCCAAUGAGGGGAGCAACGUGGGAGAAUGCUGAAAUACUGAAGGUUGAAGAGACAAGCUCUGCAGAGCCUCAAUGGAAGAGAGACUGCUGCUGCCUCCCCCAUUCCUCCCACUGCUCCCUGGGGCUGAGUGGGGCAUGAGGAUGAAGCAGCGCCUCAGGCUCUCUGCGUGGACCAGUCUCUUCUCCUUUGUGCCUGCUCCUCGCAGCUACCCUGCCUGCUCUCUCCAGAGUUGAGAGAACUCCUUCCAUAUAAAAUGGGUUUUGUCUGGGUUCCUCAGAAAUCCAGCACAGAGGUGGCAUACCAACAGCUCUUUGGGGUUACAAUAACUAAUAAUUCCCCAAGAAACCAUCUUCAUCUUUGAAGAUCCAUUGUGACAUGACACCUGCACCCACAGACAGGAAGAUAUGUUGUGUGUCAGACCCUACCAGCUGGACUGAGUUGAGUCUUUGGAGAAAGUUGUGGAUGAAAAGAACCUCUGCAUGUUCAAACAUCUUGUCAGAUCCCCACAUUUACAGGUCUGUGUUCACCUACCUGUACCAGACUGCCCCACAUCCAAACAAGGCUACAUGGUCUUGAUGUGAUUUUUCCUUAGCCCUGACUCUCCCAAGGCUUACCUCAUAAGAGGAAGUGGUAAGAGCUCUCUUUAUUAAUGUUACUGUCUUUUUGGCACACAGAUUAAAGAAAGAAGAGAAUAAUAA